CGUGGCUCCUGCCAGAAAGCACAAGAACCUACUGUGAUCCUGUACUGAAUAAGAAGAGCUGCUGUGAUAUCCCUAACUUGACAGCGCUUGUCCGUGUGUGCCAUAUAGAUAACAUUGUGCUCACUCCUGUGGAAUAAUUUAUGAGUCAGCACUGAUUGGCUAAAAUGCAAGUCUCUCAAAAGAACUGAGAUAAGGG